GCUUGGUAUUAGUUCUUCUUUAAAUGUUUGGUAGAACUCAUCAGGGAAGCCGUCAGGUCCUGUGACUUUCUUUGAUGGGAGAUUUCAUUGCUGAUUCAAUUUCCUUACUUGGUCUGCCCAUCCAUAUUCUUUGAGGUGCAAUUCAAAUGUCAUCUCUUCUGAGAAGCCUUAAAUUCUUGCAUGCAUAACUAAUCUUUUCUUCUCUGUGUUCCAAAAGGCCUUAAUUCAGUCCUAUCUUUACACAGAACCUCUAAUUAUUGCAUUUAUCACCUAGGCUGUAUUUCUCAUAGUUCCCUUUUCCCCAUAGAAAAAAAGUGAUUUUUCUACCUCCACUUGCAUAUCCUAGUAUAUACUAGUGACUCAAUGAAUGUAGUAGGCAUUAGCACAGAGGACAGCAAAUUUUUUCUAUAAAGGGUCAGAUAAGCAAUAAAUAUGUAUAUUUUAAAUAUUUUCUAAUAGUCUUGUUUUUUCCUCUUAUGGUCCUGGGGAUUAAACCUAGGGCCUCGUGCAUGCUAGGAAAGCACUCUACCAUUGAUCUAAGCCCCUGGCUCCAAGAAAUAUUUCACACUAUGUCUUCCAUAGGGUCUCUGUAACCAACGAUUCAACUCUGCUGUUUUUUAACACUGAGGCAGCAAUAGACAAUAUAUAUAAAAAAAUAUGUAAAUAAAUGGGCACAGCUAAGUUCCAAUAAAACCUUAUUUUUCAAAAACAGGCUUCAGGCUAGAUUUAGCCUGUGGGCCAUGUGCUACCAAGUUCAAUACAUGAACUUCAUGAACUAAUUCCAUUUCCUUAUCAUCCACACUGCAGUCACCUGGGAAAUGUAGAAAGGCUUCAGUCUUGCUGACAUCAAAGUCAUUAACCGUUGUGUUAACCAGUUCACUUGGUUCUUGAGUUUGUAUGGUGACAUGAGGAAGAAGAGAUGGCCUACUAUCACCAGAGCCUGCUCUGCUACCUGUGCACAAGGAGAUGAAAUGAGCUGGCCUCAGUUUAGGAAUAAAGACAGGACAAGUCCUCAGUAGCUUUGCCCCAUUCAUGUUUGUCUUCCCGGAGCCUGGCACAGUGCCUGGCAAACAGAAGGAAUUUAGUAAAUGCAAAUAACAAUUACAUCAUUAAUGAAAAAGUGAAUGGGUUUGGUUUUUUUUUUUUUUUUUUUGGCGGAGGGUAACCAGGGAUUGAACUUAGGGGCACUCAACCACUGAGCCACAUCCCCAACCCUAUUUUGUAUUUUAUUUAAAGACAGGGUCUUACUGAGUUGCUUAGCACCUGACUUUCGCUGAGGCUGGCUCUGAACUCGCGAUCCUCCUGCCUCUGCCUCCCAAGCCACUGGGAUUACAGCGCGAACAGGUCAGACCCCCGAGGAAUCAAGUCAGCCGGUAGCGAAUUUGCAUCGCCCCGCCUCUGCACUAACGACUGUCAACGUUGGCCAACAUCCACCGAGAGAGAAGCGUGCGCUGCCAGGCCCCCCGCGCCACUGCACCUGCAGACUCCACUACCCCGGCACAAGACAGCCAGGACCUAGAAGACCAGGGGUUUGCGAGGGCUGCGCCAUUGAGCUUGGGCGGUAGAAUACUGCCCGGCAUUAAGUGGCAUUGGGAACUCUGGACGCAACGGACCUUUAAGGCUGUGGGUGGGAAUCCAGACCACAACUUCUGGUUCAGUGCCCCACUCCCUCUGCUUUUCGGACCGGUGCAGGGGUGUUUAGUUGAGCUUCUGUCCAUUAGCGCCAAGUGUACUGGGCGCUCAGCAGUGGCUGACUUGAUCAAAUUGGCCUAUAUUUUACCAAAUACCCCAAGGUCAAAGCGCUGCACUCGAGAAUCCAAACCCUGCAUUCUGGUCCUGGCUUUUGUCAGCUUAUAGCAUGUUUGGAGUUUCAUUAUUUUGUCUCUAAAACAGAGGAACCCUGCCCUGCCACCUCCACAGAGCUGUGCAGUAUCUUCAGCCUCAAGAGAUGAAUGCGUCUAAGUGAAAGCGCUCUGGAGAUGACAGUUCCGUGGAAUUGUUCCUACUCCGUGCACGGCACCGCCCUGCAAAGGUGGAAGAAGUUACGACUUUUUUUCAAAGGGCUCACCUUCAAAUUAGGACAAAACAUCCCUUCUGCUCCCUAAAGUUUCUCCUUUUUUCAGUUGGGAAUUGGGCUAGUUGAUUCUCAACUUUUCUGAAAGUAUGAUUCUAUAAAAUAACAGGGAGCACUUUAUGCAAGCGUUCCUGGGAAUGACUCUGGAAAUUGUCUGGACUUCCGGACAGGGCAGGAGUAUCAGGAAGAACUGCUGGAACCUGGAGGAAAGGUUUUUGAGGAGAGAAGCCAGUGUUCCAACAAGCUGUGUAAAAGCUUGCAUGUGGGAAUUUUCAAAAGGUUAUGCCAGAGUCAGUUUUUGUUAUCUGCUUCCAAUUCCCACUGACUGGAAGAGGGCAAGGAAUUUAUAAUCUUCACUGUCACAGAAUGUGGCCCAAGAAAACCCUAAAAAGGUCUUUAAAAUUUAAACUUUAAAAAUAAUGUAAAAAUUACAUAUCAUCCAUAUUUGCUAUUUCACCAUAAAAAAAAUUAAUUCUUGUCAAUUCAAACUGAAAAAUAAGACACAUUAGGUUUUACCCUUUUGCUUCAAAUUCUCCCCAUCCCUCCUAGAGUAUGAAUCUUCCAAUUUAAGAACAACCAUUGUAGGAAUAGAAAGUGAUUGGGACAUGAAGGUCAGUCAGAGUUUGGUUGUACAAGGUUCUAAACAGCAAGCUAAAAACUUUAGAGCAAUUUGUUAUUCAAGUGUUUUGAACAGAAGAAUUAAAUGACAAAAGCAAUGUCUUGGAAAUAUUAAGCCAAAAGCUUAAUAUUUUAAGGAUGAUUUUGCAGGGAAAAAGACCAGAAGUAGGCAAACUGGGUUGUGUGCUAAGCCAUACAGUGCCAUAGGGACUUCAACCUCAAGCAUGGCAAUAGAGGCAGGGAUGUGGCUCAGUGGUAGAGUGCUUGCCAAGCAUGCUCAAGGCUACAGAUUCCAUCCAGCAAUGCAAAAUAAAAGUGACAUCAGGAAUAGAGAGAAUCAAGGCAAUUAAUACUAGGCUGUAAACCUGGAUUGAUACUUCUAUCCUCCCCUCACUCCUACCUCAGAAGUUUUUUUAGUAAGAGAGUCAUAUUCCUAACAUUAGACCCUGGGCUUCAUCUCAAAUAUAAAAUCAGAAGUUAGCCCUAUGGGGAUCACCAGUGAAUUUCUUACUUAACAGUCUCAAAUGAUGACAUUUGUUGAAUUAAAUCAAAGACCUGCUUAACAAACUCCUCUCAAACUCAAGACUUGGAAGAAAAAGUAUUCUACUAGUGUAGAAAUCUGCUUUCUAUAGAUCCACAGAGCUAUUUAAACCCACAAUGUCUUUGCAUUUACUACUAGUAAUCUCAAAGCUAAAUAGUGUGCAGUUUAAAAAAACUAUUGAUUGGCCAGCAUUUUUUCUUACUAAUGUAAAGUACAUGCUGCAGUAAAAUCACAGCUAUCAGGAUUCAGAUCCCCACUCUACUAUUAAAUCAGCUGAGUGACUUUAAGCACUCUGAGAGUCUCUCUUAUAAAAUUAAUAGGACUUACCUUAAAGGAUUCUUGUGAGAUCAAAUGAGAAAUCCAGGCUGGGGGUGUGGCUCAGGGGUAGAGUGCUCGCCUAGCACAUACGAGGCCCUGGGUUUGAUCCUUAGCACCACAUAAAAAUAAAUAGAUAAUAAAGGGAUUAUGUCCAACUAAAAAAUAAUAUUGAAAAAUGAGAAAUCCCAUAAAGUGCUUAACACAUUGCAUGCCCCAUUAUAAAAGCUCAAUAACGUUAGUUAUGGCUAAUAUUCAUGAACUGGAUUUUGUUUUAGCCUCCCUGUGCUUUUUUUUAUGUUUUCUUAGGUCUUUUGAAUACAGCUAUAAUAUAAAUCUAACAAUAAAUGAAUAAAAGAUAAUAAUAAUAAAUAAAGGGGCUGGGAAUGUGGCUCAAGUGGUAGCGUGCUCGCCUGGCAUGCAUGCGGCCCGAGUUCGAUCCUCAGCACCACAUACAAAACAAAGAUGUUGUAUCCACCGAUAACUAAAAAAUAAAUAUUAAAAAUUCUC